CAGCGUGCCGAAGGCCAAGUCCAGGGCCAGGGGAGCGUUCACAAUCCUAAACACGAACCCUGGCGAGAGAAAAGACGUGCAAUGAUGUAUAGUGAGACCAAAAUUUACAAAAACACGUUUACAAUGAUGAAUCAGACUGCAAGCAACUUAGAUGGAUAUUUGUCUCUGUGACACUCGGAGCCUUUUUUUCCAGUUCCAGCAUCAUACACAGAGCAGCCGAAACACUGGCGCUUGAUGCUUUUUCCUGUUCACAUAAUGACAUUUCUCACUAUGGAUGUUUGUACCCAGAGAUGUCUGUUCGAAACGCUUCCAGAGACUGUCCUGACACCCCAGCAUGGUGACUAUGUACACAAACCUGCAGCUAUGCUAUAAAUCUGAGCUGAUGACUCACUGGAUCCCAAAGCCUACAGCACAUUGUAUGUGCUGGGAUAUAAAAUGAGUCACUAUUUGGUAUGCAAUCCCUUUAUAUAUGGUAGGAUAUACACAUAUACACAUACACACAUGUAAGAGAGAUCAGCGUACAAGACAGGCCUACAGAAGAUGCUAAAGAAGGGAAAGGCAGACACUGUUUACAGUAUCAUCGCAGAGCUCUGUUUAUACAGUUUUUGCUAUCGGCUGCUACAGUAUUUUCCUCAGGGACUGAAGAAAUGAACAAACAAAUGCCAGAACUGCACACAGAGCCAUCAGCCGCACUGUAUUUCUUCCCUGAACUUCCCCACUGGCCAGCAGCCUUGUCUGCAUUCAGACCCAGCCUCGGCCUUCACAGAUACGGGUUUCACCAGUAGUAAGAUCAGGGCAGUUUGUCUUUUUUUUUUUUUUUAAUGAGGAUGAAGAAAGAGGACAGGAAGGGGACAGCUAAUGAACAAGUCCCUGUUAAACCCCUGUUACUGUAAAAAAGAUUUUGGCAAAAUUUGCCCUUGUCCACAGUCACCAGCAAAAAACAGCUGCUCACAGAAUGGCCUUACUUCUAUGCAGUGACAUCAUGAGGAUGCAUCAUCCUUGAAGACGGCCUUUUAUGAGCAAAGUAAAUAGCAGAGCCAGAACUAUUCAGAAAAAUUGAUGCAGACACGGAAGGAGAACACAAGAAGUACAGUCUGCGUGCACCUUCUGCUCUCUAUGCAAGCAGCACAUUUUCCAGAGUAUGCUCUGGAGUAUUUUCUGGUGUCUGCUGGCACAGAAGAAAGAUGUACAGUAAAAUGUGGUCUGCGUGCCAUAACUGAGGAAAUAGGCGUGCCAGCGAGUAAGGAAGAGCAAGAAACAACUGCGGCCAGAGCAGGCUGACGACAAGAUGAGCACAUGGUAUCUAAUAGACCCAGCAAAGUCCAGAGCACAUCAGGGAGGAUGAAUUAGGAUUUGAGACCAUGAGAACAAAGGACUGUAAUAAAGUAGGGAGUGAAGGAAAAAGAACAGAUGGUCCCUUCUUUAUCUUCGAGUUAGAUGAGGGUACAUGGAAAUCUCCUUGGACAGGCAACAGGAAGAAAAGAAAAUUUACAAGAACAACAUAUAAAGGAGGUCUAACACACAGGAAAAGCACAAAGGCUGAGCACAGCACUGUUCCAAAGACACAGACUGGCCUCCUGUGAACUGCAGACACCACUCUGAUCUGCCAACCGAGUACAUGAGAUCUGAUGCUGAGGCCAGAGGAAAACACAGAGGCAUCCCGUCGAUAAGACUGGAACUUAAGCUUCGGAUGUUUGGGAAAGAGCCUGCCUACACCAGGCCUCCGAUGGCCUCCUGGCAUUUGAGGUGUGAUACAGGCUGAAGGGCAGAUCAAAGCCCAGCAGCUGAAGGCUCGGUGCUCCCCCUGCCCACCCCAGCCCUGCCGCAGGGCACCAGAGCGGCUGCAUGGCUCCCCCACCACUUCCCCAGCUGCCAUCCCUCACGCAGCACGCUGCCAUGAGCUGGCCUCCGCAGCAGCUCACACAGGUAUUUGAUGCUGGAAUAGUUCAGGACCUGAGCUGGGGACUACCACUGCCACACAGGCAACAAAGCGAUGGAGCAAGUGUUCAAAGGUGUAUCUACUCCCUUAGCAUUUGAGCGCUGAAGUGAUAAAGAACAGCAAGCAAAGUUACUGCAUCCUUGUGAUUUAAAAAGUAUAAAAUGUUUUCAAUGGGGAGAAUGUUUUGCAGGUUUGAUGACCCCCAACUCUAAAAAUAACAGCACCGAAUGCUGUAAGCAUGUACAUCAUCUUUUAAGAUACCCACAAAAGGUGCUUGUCUUCUAAAAAUCAACGCGUGUGUCUUCACUGACAUAUUAACUGCUGACAAGAACUGCUCCUCACAUCAGUCUGCCUGCAAAACAUGACUGCUUUUCAAGAAGCCACGAAUUAUAGAUUACCUGAUACGGAACUCAUGACUCACACUAUGACUUCAGCAGCUGUCUGAGCAUGCUGGAAGCUCUCUAUGGGCAGGCGGUUCUCUCCCUCACAUCAGCCUCCGGCCAUGGCCUCGAUGCUUACCUCCAGUCUGCUCAGGUCCUCUGCUGAGCACCUGGUGAACCAAUGCUCAGAGCAGCAAAAUAGAGAUUUGGUGUGCAACAAAGUGCGUGGGCUCUCCUGCUCGGUGAGCGAGCUGAGCUAAGUGCCCUGCAGCCUGCAUGGGCACAGCUGGAGCUGGGGACAGCAAGGUCCCACGGCCCCUGCACACAGCAGGGACACAAGAGGAGAGAGCAGGACCUCCCCUGGCAGCAAGCUGUCUGGGCGGGUCAGCCAGCACCCAGAACUUCACCACCAGAGCCAUGUAAACAGCCUGCUAACCAAGAUGACUCCAAGAGCUAUUAAUAGUCUUUCAUAAUAUAAGCAAUUACGUAUUUUAAAUAAGUGAAUGAAAAAACUCAAACGACAGAUCUCUAAAAGCCACUCCUGACUGAUAGCCACAGGGACUAAAAUGGCAGAAAGUGAACCUGGAGAUGUAGCUAUCAGCAAACACUGGAAAAUACCAUAGCGCUCCUACCACAGCGGUUCUCCAGGCUAUCAGACUGUGUCAAAAUGAUCACUUAAUCCGUUUUUAAAACUCUAAAGCACUUAUAUGUUCCAGUGUGCAAAAAUAUAAGCAACAUGAUAAGCAUCUUGUUAAAUAGGCCACUACAGGGACUGAAAUACAAAGAAUUCUCCAUGCCUUAAACAAGUAGUUACAAGCAGAAGAAUUAAUAGUACCCCCUGAAAUGAAAAACAAAAGAUAACCAUCAGGUACUACAUGUUUUUUUUUUCAUUUUCAGGAAGUGAAUUUUCAUAAAGGGAAAAGGGUUAAGUACUGCACUGUUUUAGUCUUCUUUGUUAAUCCACCCACAUAAAAAUUAGACCUCCUACAUGCACAUUCAUAUACUCCAAAAGCUUUGAUCAUGCCAGAUGUAAAUAUUUCUUCUAGUCACAUAUUACAUGUCCUCAAACCAUACAAUUGUUCUCUGUUAAAGUCUUGGUGAUAUUAUGGAGAGCUGAAAGGAUGUAUUAAGAGCACACACACAGAAGACUUCAACAAGAACUGUGAUAAAACAUGGGCAAAAUAAAAACGCAGAACAUACUUCUUGUCUAACAAACCAUUUUGUAAUUGUUUUUACAUUGGAAAUCAUUAACUGAAGUUCAUUUUUGAUCAAAGGGUAAUGCAGUUUGUAUGAAUGUAUAUACUGUGUUCAUAAUGAAAAUAAGUACUACUACAAGGGAGCUUAGCACAACAGUCCCGAGAGGAAGUCUCACAAAGAACAGUGCACCAACAGUGAGAAUGUUGUCAAGGAGAAUGUAAAAGAUAGGUUGAAACUGAAAUUACAGGAAGUAUUUUAGGUAGACUAGGUAUAUUCUAAUGCAGUAAAAAAAAAGUGCUGCCUACCAGCCGAGGCAUAACCAAUACUAUGCUGCUGUCAGUACAGUACUUCACAGCACCCUGGUAAAGUAGGGCAGUAGGAUUCUUGCUUCAGAGACAGCAUGCACAUCAACCAAGUCCACUGAAUGCUUGCCUGGCAAAACUGGGGAUUAGGCUGAUACAUCACCUUAACAAGAUGAUGAAUUCAGCAAGAGAUUAGUUUCCCAUCCAAAGAUGGUAGAUUCAGCACUACCAUCAUUAAUAGCUGUAAUGUUGGAUUUGCAGACAGAACAUUUCAGCUACUGAAUCAGUACUCACUUUGGUAGCACUGAAGGUUUUCUUUUUGGCGUUAAGUAAUAAUUAGGUUUACCCUUAUUCUUGAUGUAUCAAGUGUAAGAGAACUGAGCGAUGCAUAGCUGCAGAUGUGUCUUUAUUUAAAAUACUCUGCUCAUGUAUGCACAUGCUUCCCAAAACUUAAAAAUCCUCCAAAUUAAAAAAAAAAAUAAAAAUCCCACCGGUCCAUCCUGGGAGUUACAUAAUCUGGCAAAUAAACGGAGGUUAGAAACUAAAUUUCUUAUGUUGAAAUCAUCUGCUUGUAUGCCCUAAUGUGAGUUAGACAAGAAUUGUGCAACUCUGCAGCAGUGCAACGGGCAGGUGUGCAGCCACCAGAAAAACCAGAGGGCCAAAGAAAGGCAGUGGCAGCAGAUAAAAAGCCACAGGACGUUCAUUCCCACUCAGCCUCCACAAACACCAUUACAGUGUAACCCUCCAUCAGGACGUGAAGAUUAAAAAGGACAACGGAGAGGUAAAGCAACAAAAAAAAGAAAAUGCAAAAAUGUUAACCUCCAGAUAGCUGGCAGAUGGCUAUUCGCAAAGGUGCUUGCUCAUUGCACUGUGUCAAUUUAAGUUACAAACACCGCAAUUCCCAGUUUAUAAAGUGACCAUUUAUGUAAAAUCUAAUAUAUAAGCAGAUUCCUUUUCAUAGUGUUUCAUAAAAAUCAAAGGCAAUUAGAUCAUUUCUAUCCUCUCGAGAAAUAGCAUUCCCCCGGUGACAUACAACUACUUCAUCUGUUUUCCAUUUUCCUGCCUGAAUCUGCUUUCCAGCCGCACUUUUUCAGGGUGACUUUAAAAAGAGGCCUUCCUGACAUCAUGCAGCACGAUGUCAAAACACAACACCAUUACAAAACAAACUAAUCAAAACUAAUUUCUUAAUAGUUGCAGUCUCUGAGUAUAGCGGCAGUAACGCUGCUCUCAGCUUUGACUUUGAUUAUAACCAGAUCCAAGUUAAUAACAUCUCUGAUUAUGAUGGAAACUUACAGCUCAGGACCAAACAGAAUACUGAAGUCCCUUCUUGAACAGAAAAGCAUGAACAUUAAUCGUCUUUUCAAGGCCAUUUUUGGAAUGUGGACAGAGCAAUAUUUUUCAACAGAGAAUUACUUUUUAAAUACACAUACACACACACACACACACACACACACACACACAGGCUUUUCCCAUACACGCCAUGCCUCCUUUGCACAAAGGGUUUUAUUACCAAACAACCACAGCUAACAGAUCCUUCACAGGAAAUGAGCAUUUGGACUUCACCACUUGCAGAAACAACCCCCCACCCCAAAGCCAUGUUCCAAUUUAAACAGCAAAAAACCAUUACCCUCCGCAUAAGUGCACAGAACUUUUGCAGAGGUAAAAAAUAUUAUCCUCCAGCUAAUUAUUUAGAAGAAUGCCAGUGGUAUAUACGUUUGAACUCAGUUAGGUAUGCACUGGAAAAAUGAAGAUGUCUACUCACAGUUUCAAAAUUCGUAUCACCAGAAUUAAAUACAUGACUUCAGACUCUUAUUAUCGACAUGUUCCGAUACUGAAGGAACUUUUUGCUUUGCACCAAGGAAGACUACCAGAUGUGACUGAGAUGAGUAUUCCAGCUGUGCUGCAGGAACACUGGAGGCCAGUUUGCAUCAUAGCUGGGAUUUAAGAAUAAUAUCUGGAGAAUGGUGGUGAAAGACUGAUUAUCUAAGGGAUAAAGGAAUAAGGAAAGUGGGGGUAAUCAAGGUAGAAGACUGUAGACAAAAUUCUUCGCAAUACUUGAAAACCAAUGUAAUUCAGGAUUACAUUCAAUUGGAUAAAGAAGUAUUUUUACAGCAGUAAUAAAAAGGCAGGCUAUCCUUCAUUACUGUGGAGCCAUACAGCCACUACCACCGCAGCUUGCAUAAGGAGCCUAUCAGGAUCUGUAAGCUGCUGCCCUGCUUAUUCACUUGCAAUUAAAAUGCUGAUAAGAAAAAACAACACAUAACAGAUUAUUCACAUGAACACUUCAUUUAACAUUUACCACUUCCAGACUCCAAGGCUGAGCACAAACAAUUAUCUUUCAUGUAUUCUUUCUUAAUUUUCAGGAACAUAACACUCAUAACCUUUAUAUAACAGUGCCACUGUGUAAUUAAUAGAGCUAAACGAAGCGCUGUCAGUAAAUAAUCGGUAGCCAGCCCAUGAUGGAUGACUUGAUUCUAAUUCAGUCCAUUCACUUUCAACUUUAAUUAGUGGCAUUGUAUUCUACAAAGCAAACAGUUCCUUCAUCCAUGUGAUGAUCUAACAUUGUAUGAGCGGGUUGAGAACAACUUGCAAGGUGUCAGAAUAAAUUUGGAGUACAAAA